rfam:TPA: Bos taurus chromosome 3, whole genome shotgun sequence.
UCCCUUGUAGCUCGGUCGGUAAAGAAUCUGCCUGCGGUGCAGGAGACCCAGGUUCGAUUCCUGGAUUGGGAA